GAUGAACGCUGGCGGCGUGCCUAAUACAUGCAAGUCGAACGGACAGAUGAGGAUCUUGCGCCUCUGACGUUAGCGGAGGGGGGGUGAGUAACACGUGUAUAACCUACCUAUCAUACGGGGAUCACUUCGAGAAACCGGAGCUAAUCCCGUAGGAUCUCUUGCACCACGUGGGUCAAUGGUAAGAGACGGUGUUUCUGUAUCUACUAGCUGGAUCCGCGCCGCAUUAGCUAGUAGUUAAGGUAACGGCUUACCAAGGCUACGAUGCGUAGCCGACCUGAGGGGGUGAUCGGCCACCCUGGAACUGAGACACGGACCAUACUCCUACGGGAGGGAGCAGUAGGGAACGUUCCGCAGUGGGCGAAAGCCUGGCGGAGCAAGGGCGCGUGAGUGAUGAAGGUGUUCGGAUCGUAAUAAUGUGUUAUGAGGGAAGAACAACUGUGUACGUAAACAUGCACGUAUUGACGGUACCUAAUCAGAAAGCACCGGCUAACUACGUG
rnacentral:rRNA from 1 species